UAGGGAAUCUUCCGCAAUGGGGGAAACCCUGAUGCAGCGACGCCGCGUGAGCGAAGAAGGUUUUCGAAUCGUAAAGCUCUGUCCUAUGAGAAGAUAAUGACGGUAUCAUAGGAGGAAGCCCCGGCUAAAUACGUGCCAGCAGCCGCGGUAAUACGUAUGGGGCGAGCGUUGUCCGGAAUUAUUGGGCGUAAAGGGUACGUAGGCGGUCUAUUAAGUCAGGUGUGAAAGCGUGAGGCUUAACCUCAUUAAGCACUUGAAACUGAUAGACUUGAGUGAAGGAGAGGAAAGUGGAAUUCCUAGUGUAGCGGUGAAAUGCGUAGAUAUUAGGAGGAAUACCGGUGGCGAAGGCGACUUUCUGGACUUUUACUGACGCUCAGGUACGAAAGCGUGGGGAGCAAACAGG
rnacentral:rRNA from 1 species